rnacentral:rRNA from 1 species
GGAUGAACGCUGGCGGCGUGCUUAACACAUGCAAGUCGAACGGUGAAGCCCAGCUUGCUGGGUGGAUCAGUGGCGAACGGGUGAGUAACACGUGAGCAACCUGCCCCUGACUCUGGGAUAAGCGCUGGAAACGGCGUCUAAUACUGGAUACGAGUAGCGACCGCAUGGUCAGUUACUGGAAAGAUUUAUUGGUUGGGGAUGGGCUCGCGGCCUAUCAGCUUGUUGGUGAGGUAAUGGCUCACCAAGGCGUCGACGGGUAGCCGGCCUGAGAGGGUGACCGGCCACACUGGGACUGAGACACGGCCCAGACUCCUACGGGAGGCAGCAGUGGGGAAUAUUGCACAAUGGGCGCAAGCCUGAUGCAGCAACGCCGCGUGAGGGAUGACGGCCUUCGGGUUGUAAACCUCUUUUAGCAGGGAAGAAGCGAAAGUGACGGUACCUGCAGAAAAAGCGCCGGCUAACUACGUGCCAGCAGCCGCGGUAAUACGUAGGGCGCAAGCGUUAUCCGGAAUUAUUGGGCGUAAAGAGCUCGUAGGCGGUUUGUCGCGUCUGCUGUGAAAUCCGGAGGCUCAACCUCCGGCCUGCAGUGGGUACGGGCAGACUAGAGUGCGGUAGGGGAGAUUGGAAUUCCUGGUGUAGCGGUGGAAUGCGCAGAUAUCAGGAGGAACACCGAUGGCGAAGGCAGAUCUCUGGGCCGUAACUGACGCUGAGGAGCGAAAGGGUGGGGAGCAAACAGGCUUAGAUACCCUGGUAGUCCACCCCGU